rnacentral:rRNA from 1 species
UGGGGGAACCCUGAUCCAGCGAUGCCGCGUGAGUGAAGAAGGCCUUCGGGUUGUAAAGCUCUUUCGCGGGGGAAGAAAUCCCGGCGGACAACACCCGCCGGGGAUGACGGUACCCCGACAAGAAGCACCGGCUAACUACGUGCCAGCAGCCGCGGUAAUACGUAGGGUGCGAGCGUUAAUCGGAAUUACUGGGCGUAAAGGGUGCGUAGGCGGCCGUUCAAGUCGGGUGUGAAAGCCCCGGGCUCAACCCGGGAAUUGCGCCCGAAACUGUGCGGCUGGAGUUCGGCAGAGGAAGGUGGAAUUCCGUGUGUAGCGGUGAAAUGCGUAGAGAUACGGAAGAACACUAAUUGCGAAGGCAUCCUUCUGGGCCGAUACUGACGCUGAGUCACGAAAGCGUGGGUAGCAAACAGGAUUAGAUACCCUGGUAGUCCACGCCCUAAACGAUGUCCGCCGGCUGUCGGGAG